rnacentral:rRNA from 1 species
GAUGAACGCUGGCGGCGUGCCUAAUACAUGCAAGUCGAGCGGACGGACGAGAAGCUUGCUCCUCUGAUGUUAGCGGCGGACGGGUGAGUAACACGUGGAUAACCUACCUAUAGGACUGGGAUAACUUCGGGAAACCGGAGCUAUAACCGGAUAAUAUUUUGAACCACAUGGUUCAUCAGUGAAAGACGGUCUUGCUGUCACUUAUAGAUGUAUCCGAGCUGCAUUAGCUAGUUGGUAAGGUAACGGCUUACCACGGCAACGAUGCAUAGCCAAACUGAGAGGGUGAUUGCCCACCCUGGAACUGAGGAACGGUCCCGACUCCUAAGCGAGGACACAGUAGGGAAUCUUCCGGAAUGGAGGAAAGACUGAUGGAGCACAGUGGGGGGAGUGAUGAUGGUCCUAGGAUCGUAAAACGCUGUUAGUAGGGGAGAACAAAUGUGUAAGUAUCUGUGCGCAACUUGACGGUACCUAAUGAGAAAGCAACGGCUAACUACGUG